rnacentral:rRNA from 1 species
CCUGAAGGAGCACGCCGCGUGAGUGAAGAAGUUUUCGGAUCGUAAACUCUGUUGUUAGAGAAAACCGGAUGAGAGUAACUGUUCAUCCCUUGACGGUAUCUAACCAGAAAGUCACGGCUAACAACGUGCCAGCGCCGCGGUAA